UGCAAGGAAAAUUCUUCUAUUCUUAUCUGAAAGCAAUUUAGUGUUAACUGAUGAAACCAUUAGAAGAUACUGAGCCCAGUAUGAAUCCCUUUGGUGGAAUAUGCGACGUGGAGGAGUGGCUCAUCUCACCAAAGCCUGCCUCCAUUUCCAAGGUUGCAUUACCUAAUUUUUGAGCCCCCAGGAGAGACAACUGUGAAUUGAAGAUGACAGACACCUUACUCGUUGCUCUGCUCUCACUGUGUGCUGUGGCUCCUUUGCCCUGUGACACUGGGUCUAGCUGGAGUUUAGUAAGAGUUCUUGUAAUACCCUUCACUGAGUUAAGA
rnacentral:lncRNA from 1 species